AAAGAGCACAAUAAUGAGGCUGCCGGUGACAAACAGGAGAAAGGUGGGGAUGACGUCAAGUCCUCAUGGCCCUUAUGGGUAGGGCUUCACACGUCAUACAAUGGUACAUACAGAGGGCCGCCAACCCGCGAGGGGGAGCUAAUCCCAGAAAGUGUAUCGUAGUCCGGAUUGUAGUCUGCAACUCGACUACAUGAAGUUGGAAUCGCUAGUAAUCGCGGAUCAGCAUGUCGCGGUGAAUACGUUCCCGGGUCUUGUACACACCGCCCGUCACACCAUGGGAGCGGGUUUUACCAGAAGUAGGUAGCUUAACCGCAAGGAGGGCGCUUACCACGGUAGGAUUCGUGACUGGGGUGAAAUCGUAACAAGGUAGCCGUAUCGGAAGGUGCGGCUGGAUCUCCUCCUUAAUCGGAUCCCGGGCCCGUCGUACUGUC
rnacentral:rRNA from 1 species